rnacentral:rRNA from 1 species
GACGAACGCUGGCGGCGUGCUUAACACAUGCAAGUCGAGCGGUAAGGCCUCUUCUGGGGUACACGAGCGGCGAACGGGUGAGUAACACGUGGGUGACCUGCCCUCAGCUCUGGGAUAAGCCUGGGCAACUGGGUCUAAUUCCGGAUAUGACCUUUCCUCGCCUGGGGUUUGGUGGAAAGUUUUUUCGGGUGGGGAUGGGCCCGCGGCCUAUCAGCUUGUUGGUUGGGUGAUGGCCUACUAAGGCGACGACGGGUAGCCGGCCUGAGAGGGCGACCGGCCACACUGGGACAGAGACACCGGACAGACUCCUGCGGGAGGCAGCAGUGAGGAAGAUUGAGCAAUGGGCGGAAGACGGACGCAGCGACGGCGAGGGGGGAAUGACGGCGUGCGGGUAGUAAACCUCAUUAGACAACGACGAAUUGGGACGGUAGGGGUAGAAGAAGCACCGGCCAACUACGUG